rnacentral:rRNA from 1 species
ACGGGUGAGUAAUGCCUAGGAAUCUGCCUGGUAGUGGGGGACAACGUUCCGAAAGGGGCGCUAAUACCGCAUACGUCCUACGGGAGAAAGUGGGGGAUCUUCGGACCUCACGCUAUCAGAUGAGCCUAGGUCGGAUUAGCUAGUUGGUGAGGUAAAGGCUCACCAAGGCGACGAUCCGUAACUGGUCUGAGAGGAUGAUCAGUCACACUGGAACUGAGACACGGUCCAGACUCCUACGGGAGGCAGCAGUGGGGAAUAUUGGACAAUGGGCGAAAGCCUGAUCCAGCCAUGCCGCGUGUGUGAAGAAGGUCUUCGGAUUGUAAAGCACUUUAAGUUGGGAGGAAGGGCAGUAAGUUAAUACCUUGCUGUUUUGACGUUACCGACAGAAUAAGCACCGGCUAACUCUGUGCCAGCAGCCGCGGUAAUACAGAGGGUGCAAGCGUUAAUCGGAAUUACUGGGCGUAAAGCGCGCGUAGGUGGUUCGUUAAGUUGGAUGUGAAAGCCCCGGGCUCAACCUGGGAACUGCAUCCAAAACUGGCGAGCUAGAGUAUGGUAGAGGGUGGUGGAAUUUCCUGUGUAGCGGUG